AAUUAUUUUUUUUAAAUUGGAGUAUAAAGAAACUAAAAUGUCUAUUAAUGACCUUUCUCCAUUUUUAACAGUCGCCCAGUGCUCUGAAGUUGAGUAAAUGAACCAUCCAUUGACAAAAGAGAGCAAUUGCUAUAUGUCAACGUUGCCAUUUUAUUGAGAACACAUUUUAGCACAAGUUGUCCAAACAAGAGCGGAAAAGUAGCACGGCAGAAUACAACAAAAGAGCACGAAAGCGCCAUCGCAUCGCACUGAAUUAAAACGAGGGAAACAACACAAGCUGCAAGGUCGAAAAUGUAGGGCGAUAAAUAGAAGGCAAGCAAAAGCGCCACCAUCGAGUGGUAAGGACGAGAAGUCGCUUGUGGUUUUGUGCUUGACUGCUCUGUACAAAAUCAUCUCUUUAUAUAAUAUUCAUCUGAGUUAGAUCAUCUGGAGACAAAAAUAGCUUUAUAUUUAUACAUCAUAAGCACGGAGAAAAUAGAUACAGAUUAGCCAAAAUGGUUGUGGGACUGAGACUACACUUGUCAGGCCAAAAAUGUGGUCAAUUUCUAUGUAGUGAUUAAGGAAUAGGGUACGAGAGUAGGAAAUCAUCAUUUAUACAUAGCGGGAGAACUUUUUAAUGAUUUAAAUAGUUGUGAGUCUUAUACUGUAAACACACUGAGAAACAACCAUACGCUUGGACUGCACAUGCUGAUAGAUUCUAUUUUCUUUUUUCUUUUUAUGUGACAACGCAAUUGGGGGACUACGGCAACAAAAUGAAUAGGAAGUUUGAAAAUUGUUUCCUAUCCUAGCAGAAUCAGAAUUGCUUGUGGGUUUGAAUAGCAACACUAGAAUUUAAAUGAACCCGGGGAAGUUUUGUGUUUGAGUAGGUGGCACAUUUGGAGAGGUGCUGGCAAACAUGCACUGAUUUGACCUCAGCUACAUCACUCAGCCUUUUUGUUUUUGAACAUGAUUAAAUAUUUAGGAGGUUCUUGCUAUGACGAAAAUUCUCCCUAAAAAAUUGAAGAACUUGAGACAUAAAUGUACACGGGGAAAAAAAAUGCUCCCCUUUAAAAAUGGUGCAAUGUGCCCUUAAAUGACAAUGUCAAAACAUAAACACUCGAAAAUUAUUAAAAGCUGAGGACCAAAAAAAAUGCAAACAAAUGCA